rnacentral:rRNA from 1 species
GACGAACGCUGGCGGCGUGCUUAACACAUGCAAGUCGAACGGUGAAGCGCCUUCCUUUUUGGUGGGUGUGGAUGAGUGGCGAACGGGUGAGUAACACGUUAGUAACCUGCCCCCUUCUUCUGGAUAACCGCAUGAAAGUGUGGCUAAUACGGGAUAUUCUGGGUCUGUCGCAUGAUGGGUCUGGGAAAGAUAUUGUUUCGGUGGGGGAUGGGCUCGCGGCCUAUCAGCUUGUUGGUGGGGUGAUGGCCUACCAAGGCGGUGACGGGUAGCCGGCCUGAGAGGGUGGACGGCCACACUGGGACUGAGCCACGGCCCAGACUCCUACGGGAGGCAGCAGUGGGGAAUAUUGCACAAUGGGAGCAAGCCUGAUGCAGCGACGCCGCGGGAGGGAUGGAGGCCUUCGGGUUGUGAACCUCUUUCGCCAGUGAAGCAGGCCUGCCUCGUUUGUGGGUGGGUUGACGGUAGCUGGAUAAGAAGCGCCGGCUAACUACGUG